UCCGGCGCGGCUCCUGCGCGCCAGCAUGGACCGUAACCCGUCGCCUCCGCCGCCUAGCUGCGAUCAGGAGGACGAGGAGGACCUGGCCGGGGGAGACUGCAUUGGGAGCACGGUCUACAGCAAGCACUGGCUCUUCGGCGUCCUCAGCGGGCUCAUCCAGAUUGUCACACUUGAAAGUGACAAGUCCGGCUCCGAUGAUGAUGAGCAACAGAUGGAGCUUGCUGAAGAAAUGGAGACUGAGAUUUGCAGAGUCUGGGAUAUGUCCAUGGAUGAGGACGUGGCUUUAAUUCUCCAAGAAUUUAAGGCUCCUGACAUAUUCAUGGGAGUGCUGGCCAAAUCCAGGUGUCCCCGAUUAAGAGUAAGUGUGUACAGUUCUUCUCUCCAGUUUUGCUUACCGGCUAUAAAUCAGUGUCAAAAUACUUAUUGAACAUUCUUAGGUAGCAUACUCCUUGAAAUGACUAGAUAUGUAGAAUUUUAGAUUUGGAUUAGGUUAGGGAGAUCAAUGACUUGAUUUAACAGCUGUGGAAACCAGAUAGGCAUAACCAUACUAGGCUGCCAAUAAGUGACAGAACCAGAAACUGUGCCUAGACCCGCUGUUUAUUUCUCAGUUCAUUGUUCUUUUCAUUCACAAAGGCCUCCAUUGCCUAACAACGUCUUGAAGUUGUUGCUGGUCAAGACUCCCACAGUCUAAUUGUGAGAACUCUGUUGUAAAAUCUACCCGCACGCUCUUCCUGGUCGAGGGCGGUCUGCAUCCUGGCUCACCAGCAUGCCACAUUUCUGGCCUUCCCUUCCCUUUCAGUCUGUUACUCAGUGUCCCAAGAGCGACAGCUGGAACUCUGUCUGUCUCUGUGUGCAGCACACUCCCUGAGCAGUGCAGUGUCCUGAGCUUUCCUACUGUGUCUGUCUCUGUGUGCAGUGAAGUCCAUGAGCAGUGCAGUGUCCCAGUGUCCUGAGCUUUCCUGCCAUGUCUGUCUCUGUGUGCAGUGCACUCCGUGAGCAGUGCAGCGUCCCGAGCUUUCCUGCCGGGUCUGUCUCUGUGUGCAGUGCACUCUGUGAGCAGUGCAGCGUCCCGAGCUUUCCUGCCGGGUCUGUCUCUGUGUGCAGUGCCCACGAUGCGUGAUUGUCUUAUGUGUUGAGUGACUGUAGUCAAUGAACAUCCGCUCUCUACUCUUGGCCUUUACUCCUCCUUUGAGACACACAUGAUAGAUAAAGAGUCUCAGACUAAGAUAGCAGGUCCAGACUCAGCUUGUGAAGACGGAGCUGGAGUUUGAGCCUGUGCCCAGCUCCAGUGUAACCCUAGUUAGUGUUUCUUCUUUUCCUUUGAGACAAAGUGGAAAAUUCCGUGGGGUGUAUUACAAAUCGAAUGUUGAAUGAAGAUUAAAAAAUACUUACGUAUUUAUGGAAAUGGGUGCUUUGUCUGCGUGCAUGUCUGUACUCCAUGAAAGUGUGAUGGGGCAGAAAAACUACUAUUGUCAAGUGACAUCAUAGCCUUGGGAUCGCCAUAUACCAAGGUACUGCUCACAUGUGGAUGGCCCUGCUGUAUGGAAAACUACUGUCCUGCAAUUCACAUGAAACUUCAGCACACAGAAUUCUAUGCAGGCUUUGAUGAUGGUAAAGAAUGUCUCCAUUCCUGGUUUGUAUGUAUUUUUAUGCAUUGCUUUUCUGAUUAACCGCAUUAGUGUACAAGAGUCUUCCCUGUGUGCCAGCAACAGCCUCACGCACCUGAUACACACUCUUUCUUUGUUGUACUUGGAGACAACAUGGAUGGAUUAGCCUAUAUUGUCUAGCUGUGUGCAGGUGCAUGUUCAUACUGUGACCUGGUCACCUUAGCCAUAUUGAUGAUCUGGAUGAGAAGUGUCUCCCAAUUGCUGAGGUAUUUGAUCUCUCGGUCCCCAAUUGGUAUAGCUGUUGGGAUAUUUGUGGAAUCUUUGGGAAGUGAAACCUCACUAGAGGAAGUAUGUCACUGGGGGUGGUUUUGAGUUUUAUACUCUCCCCCACUUCCUGUUUACCACCUGCCUUUGAGCUUGCUGUUCCUGCUGCCAUACCUGCCACUCCUUGCCUUCCAAGCAUGAUGGAUUCUUAUCCCUCUGGAACUGGUGGAUCCCUGAGACCUAGGAGGAAUGGAAGCUUCUCCUAUAUCUACUACAGAACAAGAGCACAAGACCAACUCCUCAGGAGUCACUAAAUGGGAGCCUCAGUGAUGGGCCUGCCCCCAUCAAUGUGGAGAAUGUGGCACUCUUGUUAGCUAAGGCCAUGGGCCCAGAUCGGGCUUGGUCACUGCUACAGGAAUGUGGUCUAGCCCUUGAGUUGUCAGCAAAGUUUACCAGAACCUGUGACAUCCUGAGGAUCGCUGAGAGAAGACAGAGAGCACUGAUACAAGGCAUGCUUGAGAAGUGUGACCGGUUCCUUUGGUCACAGCAGGCCUAGUGGGUGAUCUGUCGGGACACGAUAUCACUUUGACCAAGUGGAACCCUGCUCUGGAACCUUCAGAGGACUUUGCCACAGAAGGAAAGGGGAUACCCCAAGCCAUGCCAGGAACAGAACCUGGCAUGCUGCUGCUGCUGCUGUUGCUACCAUCUCCACCUUGGCACUUUGCUCUCGUGGCUCGAUGACCUCAGUUUGUCAACCAAAGUCAGCUCUCGGAAGAAGUUGGUCACGGUUCAGUGGCACCAGCAUGGGACUGCUCACUGCCAUGUGGUAUUCAGUGCGAACAGUGUAGUGUUUGCCAUGUUAGUACAUCAGGGAAUUGUUUUCUACUGUGGCAGAUCUGUUGUGGGCAGACGCUUUGCUAUGUGAGACAGAUAACAUUGUGAACUGGAGUUCAGUACUAUUUACACUUGUCUGAGGCCAUCUAGAAAUUACUGAGUUACGACUUAGAACAAUGAUAUUUUUGUUGACAUAUGUAAUAAACAUUGAAAAUUCAAACUAGA